UGGGCGAAAGCCUGAUGGAGCGACGCCGCGUGCAGGAAGAAGUCCUUCGGGAUGUAAACUGCUUUUAUUAGGGACGAAUUCGUGACGGUACCUAAUGAAUAAGAGGUUGCUAACUCUGUGCCAGCAGCAGCGGUAAUACAGAGACCUCAAGCGUUAUCCGGAAUUACUGG
rnacentral:rRNA from 1 species